GACGAACGCUGGCGGCGUGCUUAACACAUGCAAGUCGAACGGUAAGGCCCUUCGGGGUACACGAGUGGCGAACGGGUGAGUAACACGUGGGUGAUCUGCCCUGCACUUCGGGAUAAGCCUGGGAAACUGGGUCUAAUACCGGAUAGGACCACUGCCUGCAUGGGUGGUGGUGGAAAGCUUUUGCGGUGUGGGAUGGGCCCGCGGCCUAUCAGCUUGUUGGUGGGGUGAUGGCCUACCAAGGCGACGACGGGUAGCCGGCCUGAGAGGGUGACCCGCCACACUGGGACUGGGCUACGGCCCAGACUCCUACGGGAGGCAGCAGUGGGGAAUAUUGCACAAUGGGCGCAAGCCUGAUGCAGCGACGCCGCGUGAGGGAUGACGGCCUUCGGGUUGUAAACCUCUUUCAGCACCGACGAAGCGCAAGUGACGGUAGGUGCAGAAGAAGGACCGGCCAACUACGUGCCAGCCGCCGCGGUAA
rnacentral:rRNA from 1 species